GACGAACGCUGGCGGCGUGCUUAACACAUGCAAGUGGAGCGACGAACCAGGCUUCGGCCUGGGGCAGAGCCGCGAACGGGUGAGUAACACGUGGGUUACCUGCCCCGAUGACUGGGACAACCCGGGGAAACCCGGGCUAAUACCGGAUGUGCUGCUCUCACUUCGGUGAAAGCAGGAAAGGAAGCUUCGGCCUCCGCAUCGGGAUGGGCCCGCGGCCCAUUAGCUUGUUGGUGAGGUAACGGCNCACCAAGGCCGCGACGGGUAGCUGGUCUGAGAGGACGAUCAGCCACACUGGGACUGAGACACGGCCCAGACUCCUACGGGAGGCAGCAGUGGGGAAUCUUGCGCAAUGCGCGAAAGCGUGACGCAGCAACGCCGCGUGGGGGAAGACGGCUUUCGGGUU
rnacentral:rRNA from 1 species